rnacentral:rRNA from 1 species
UACGAGGGGGGCUAGCGUUGCUCGGAUUGACUGGGCGUAAAGGGCGCGUAGGCGGUUCGUACAGUCAGACGUGAAAUUCCUGGGCUCAACCUGGGGGCUGCGUUUGAUACGUGCGGACUUGAGUGCGGAAGAGGGUCGUGGAAUUCCCAGUGUAGAGGUGAAAUUCGUAGAUAUUGGGAAGAACACCGGUGGCGAAGGCGGCGACCUGGUCCGAUACUGACGCUGAGGCGCGAAAGCGUGGGGAGCAAACAGG